GUGCUCGCUUCGGCAGCACAUAUACUUAAACUGGAACGAUGAAGAGAAGAUUAGCAUGGCCCCUGCACAAGGGUAACAGGCAAAUUCUUGAAACAUUCCAUAUUUUU
ensembl:snRNA U6 U6 spliceosomal RNA